GACGAACGCUGGCGGCGUGCUUAACACAUGCAAGUCGAACGCUGAAGCACCAGCUUGCUGGUGUGGAUGAGUGGCGAACGGGUGAGUAAUACGUGAGUAACCUGCCCUUGACUCUGGGAUAAGCCCGGGAAACUGGGUCUAAUACUGGAUGCUACAUGUCACCGCAUGGUGGUGUGUGGAAAGGGUUUACUGGUCUUGGAUGGGCUCACGGCCUAUCAGCUUGUUGGUGAGGUAAUGGCUCACCAAGGCGACGACGGGUAGCCGGCCUGGGAGGGUGACCGGCCACACUGGGACUGAGACACGGCCCAGACCCCUACGGGAGGCAGGCGGGGGGAAUAUUGGACAAGGGGCGAAAGCCUGAUGCAGCGGCGCCGCGGGGGGGAGGACGGGCUUCGGGUUGGAAACCUCUUUCAGCAGGGAAGAAGCCACAAGUGACGGUACCUGCAGAAGAAGCGCCGGCUAACUACGUG
rnacentral:rRNA from 1 species